rnacentral:rRNA from 1 species
GAUGAACGCUAGCGGCAGGCUUAAUACAUGCAAGUUGAGGGGCAGCAUGAUAUACGCGAGUAUAUUGAUGGCGACCGGCGGAUGGGUGAGUAAUAGGUAGGAGACCUACCUCAUACAAGGGGAUAGCAUAGAGAAAUCUGUGGUAAUACCCCAUGAGGUUAUAUGAAUAGAGGCAUAUAAUCAAAGCAUAAGCGAUUAUGCGGUAUGAGAGGGGCCUACUGACCAUUAGCUAGUUGGUGAGGUAAGGGCUCACCAAGGCGAAGAUGGUUAGGGGUUUUGAGAGAGAGACCCCCCACAUUGGAACUGAGAGACGGUCCAGACUCCUACGGGAGGCAGCAGUAGGGAAUAUUGGGCAAUGGGCGAAAGCCUGACCCAGCCAUGCCGCGUGAAGGAAGACGGCCUUAUGGGUUGUAAACUUCUUUACUACGCGAAUAGAGGUUAGUACGAGAUACUAAUAGGAAGGUAGUGUAGUAAAAGCACCGGCUAACUCCGUG